UAGCCAUGCGAGUCGCGAGGGUUCGGCCCUCGGCUGACGGCUCAGUAACACGNGNGANAAUCUGCCCUUAGGUGGAGGAUAACCUCGGGAAACUGAGAAUAAGACUCCAUAGAUCUAGGAGGCUGGAAUGCACUUAGAUCAAAAACUUCGGUGCCUAAGGAUGAGUCUGCGGACUAUCAGGUAGUAGUCAGGGUAAUGACCUGACCAGCCUACGACGGAUACGGGUUGUGAGAGCAAUAACCCGGAGAUGAUAUCUGAGACACGAUAUCAGGCCCUACGGGGCGCAGCAGGCGCGAAAACUUCACACUGUGCGAAAGCACGAUGAGGGAAUCCCAAGUGCUGGCUCGUAAGAGUCAGCUGUUUUUCUGUCUAGAAAACAGAGAGAGUAAGAGCUGGGUAAGACGGGUGCCAGCCGCCGCGGUAAUACCUGCAGCUCAAGUGGUGGCCGCUAUUAUUGGGCCUAAAACGUUCGUAGCCGGUCUAGUAAAUGCCUGGGUAAAUCAUACGGCUUAACCGUACGAAUUCCGGGUAGACUGCUGGACUUGGGACUGGGAGAGGCUAGAGGUACUCCUGGGGUAGAGGUGAAAUUCUGUAAUCCUAGGGGGACGACCAGUGGCGAAGGCGUCUAGCUAGAACAGGUCUGACGGUGAGGAACGAAGCCCUGGGGCGCAAACGGGAUUAGAUACCCCGGUAGUCCAGGGUGUAAACGCUGCUUGCUUGAUGUUAGUCGGGCUCCGAGCCCGAUUAGUGUCGGAGAGAAGUUGUUUAAGCAAGCUGCCUGGGGAGUACGGGCCGCAAGACUGAAACUUAAAGGAAUUGGCCGGGGG
rnacentral:rRNA from 1 species